AUGUAUGCACUUGCACUUCAUUUCUGGGUGAUGAAUCUAAUUUUCUUAACUUACCAUAAGAAGCCGAGGUCUAGAUGAGAUCAAGAGCAAAAUAAUCAUGAGAUGCUAUUACAUGUGUACAAAUCAUUUAAACCUCAGAAUUCAAAUCCCAUGUUUGAGAAGGGUAUUAUGAUGUUAUCUGUCUUGGAAGGCAGAGGACAUGUCCGUGCCUUGUAAUUUUCAGCAGAUUCGAGUGCUCGGGAUGUCUGUAGAGCCAUCUCAGCAUGGAGCUGGAGACAUGUCAUAGCCAUCUGCAUAUGAUAACAGUUAGCUUUAGGAAUGAACAAACACAUGCAUGUGGGUGCAUAAUGAUGACAACAAUUAAUCUUAUGAUCAAAACCAAUGCAUGCGAGCGCAUAUGCACCAACGAUUUCAGUCUAAGAAGAUAUUCAAAACAAAAACGAAUAAUUUGAUAACAGCAUGUUCAUUGAAUAAAGUCAUAGUGCUAAAGCACAUGCUAUUUCAUCCACAUGAAGAUAUCAUACCACCGAUCAUGAGAUACACAUCCAUAAAACAAAGAACCGAAUAUAAACCCACUUAUUAAGUUUUGGGAAAAAUGUCCAUUAUCGAACUUGUAGAUGAAUUGGUUAGGAACUCUAAAAGCAUGUGAUUCUUGAUUUAGAAAUUAUCGACAUUGUUAAUUAUGAUCAAUGAUGAGGAUUCAUACAUUUGAAGGGUAAGAAUGAAUUUUCAUCAUUACUCGAGCACAUUUCCAGCACGAGGGAUAAUAUAAGGGUAGUAAUUUUUGAUCCAGACCUACCAACCUGCACAAACCCACCUAAAAUAGAUGAGAUUGGGAAAGAGUCUUUCAAUUGAUUGGGUAUGGGUUAGCCAGACUAACAUGAUUAUAAAUAGGUCAAUGAUGGGUUUAGCCCUCCAACCCAAUGGGUGGCCAUGGGUUUGAACAAACCUUUAAAAUUCAUCCCAAAACCUCUAGGAUAGUGGUAAUUAGGUGAUGAGCUAUGGCCUAGCAAAGGAUUGGUUUGGAUAAUAAAAAAGACUACACAGUUAGUGAUUAGAGAAUAAAUAAAUUGAAAAAAGGAAGAGUGAAUGGCAUGUUAAAGAGCCAAUUUUAUUUUUUUUUUCAGUUUUCCUGGUUUUCACCUUAGUUGUACACAAAUCCUAAGUCCCUAUCUUUGGCUAUAUUUCAUUUUAAUCUACUAAGAUAUAUAAUUGACAAUAUAAUGCUAAUUGGGUUUAUAGGUUUGGUAUGGGUCCAUAUAAAAUAAAUGGGCUGAGUAUUGGUUUGCAUAUUUCCUCUGAUUAUGGGUUGGAUAUGGUUUGAGGACUUUUUGACUCAACCGAACCUGAUCCAUUGCACCAACCCCCCUACAAACAUAAGAAUGUCCUAGAAUGGGAAACUGAUAACUAUUCCUGAUUUAUUCCAACGAACCAAAUGUGAUCUGAAGGUUUUCUUCUGUUAAAACAAACUUGUUUCAAAAAGCGGAAAAACAAUGAAUGAGUUAAGCAAGUACAAUUUGAUAAUAUCAUUCACUAGAAUAAUGCUGAUGUUAUAAUCCAAUCUUAAUUCUCAAUAUGA
rnacentral:lncRNA from 1 species